rnacentral:misc_RNA from 1 species
AAAGUAUAUUUUAUAGAAGUAUAGUAAGAGAUAGUAAUAAAUAAGUAUGAUAAAAGAUUUUUACGGUUAAAUAUGUUUGAGGAAUAUUGGUUAUAAUAGUAUUGUUGUAGAAUUUAGAAAAGUUUUUUAUGGUGUAGGUUGUAUAUUUUUAAUAGGGGGUUAUAUUUUAAAGUAGGAAUUAGUAAGUUAUUGUUAUUUAUGGU